rnacentral:rRNA from 1 species
UACGUAGGCAGCAAGCGUUGUUCGGAAUUACUGGGCGUAAAGAGUGUGUAGGCGGUGCUCUAAGUUUGGUGUGAAAUCUCCCGGCUUAACUGGGAGGGUGCAGCGGAAACUAGAGUGCUAGAGGGUGGGAGAGGUAAGCGGAAUUCCUGGUGUAGCGGUGAAAUGCGUAGAUAUCAGGAGGAACACCUGUGGUGUAGACAGCUUACUGGACCACUUCUGACGCUGAGACACGAAAGCGUGGGUAGCAAACAGG